UACGGAGGGUGCGAGCGUUGUCCGAAUGACUGGGCGUAAAGGGCGCGUAGGCGGCCUGGUAAGUAGGGGGUGAAAUCCUGCGGCUUAACCGCAGGGCUGCCUUCUAAACUGUCAGGCUCGAGCACGGUAGAGGCAGAUGGAAUUCCUGGUGUAGCGGUGAAAUGCGCAGAUAUCAGGAGGAACACCGGUGGCGAAGGCGGUUCUCUGGGCAUGUCCUGACGCUGAGGAGCGAAAGUGUGGGGAGCAAACAGG
rnacentral:rRNA from 1 species